rnacentral:rRNA from 1 species
UACGUAGGGGGCAAGCGUUGUCCGGAAUCAUUGGGCGUAAAGAGCGUGUAGGCGGUCCGGUAAGUCGGUUGUGAAAUCCCCCAGCUCAACUGGGGAACUGCAUCCGAUACUGUCUGUCUUGAGGACGAGAGGGGAGAGUGGAACUUCUGGUGGAGCGGUGAAAUGCGUAGAUAUCAGAAGGAACGCCGGUGGCGAAAGCGACUCUCUGGCUCGUAUCUGACGCUGAGGCGCGAAAGCUUGGGUAGCAAACGGG